rnacentral:ncRNA from 1 species
UCGACAGGGGUGCCUGAUAGGCUGAGACGGGAAAAGGUUCCGAACCCUCAUACCUGAUACGGAUAAUGCCGGCGUAGGGAGUCUUC